rnacentral:rRNA from 1 species
UCCUACGGGAGGCAGCAGUGGGGAAUAUUGCACAAUGGGGGAAACCCUGAUGCAGCCAUGCCGCGUGUGUGAAGAAGGCCUUCGGGUUGUAAAGCACUUUCAGUUGUGAGGAAAAGUUAGUAGUUAAUACCUGCUAGCCGUGACGUUAACAUCAGAAGAAGCACCGGCUAACUCCGUGCCAGCAGCCGCGGUAAUACGGAGGGUGCGAGCGUUAAUCGGAAUUACUGGGCGUAAAGCGCACGCAGACGGUUUGUUAAGCUAGAUGUGAAAGCCCCGGGCUCAACCUGGGAUGGUCAUUUAGAACUGGCAGACUAGAGUCUUGGAGAGGGGAGUGGAAUUCCAGGUGUAGCGGUGAAAUGCGUAGAUAUCUGGAGGAACAUCAGUGGCGAAGGCGACUCCCUGGCCAAAGACUGACGCUCAUGUGCGAAAGUGUGGGUAGCGAACAGGAUUAGAUACCCUGGUAGUCCACACCGUAAACGCUGUCUACUAGCUGUGUGUGCCUUUAAGGCGUGCGUAGCGAAGCUAACGCGCUAAGUAGACCGCCUGGGGAGUACGGCCGCAAGGUUAAAACUCAAAUGAAUUGACGG